CUGCACCCGCACCCAAAUCAAGAACUGUUGUUCCGCUUGACUUUUCCUCCCACCCAAAUCAGGUUCCGUCGAAUUGUUUGCAGUUGAGUUAAGAUUAAAGUGUGAUCCAAGUCCGACGUAGUAAACGAAAAGUUGUGGCUGGAUUCACUAUUGAAUAUCGGCUGACAGGAAUAAGAGAUUAUGAUUGCAACGACCCACUAGCUGUAAGUCUGUAAGGAAUUUGGUCUGAAAUUCAUAAACCCAGAGAGGAAAAUGCCUAGAGAAAAGAUUGGAAAUCCUAUGAAUCCCAGGAAAAGAGGAAACUGGAAACCCAAAGGUGCUUUCAAUAUACAGGAACUUCCACAAGCUUUAGUAAUGGACAUUCUAUCUAGGCUUUCCAUCAAGGCCCUUUACAAUUGUAGGGGCGUCUGCAAAGACUGGCUUCACAUAAUUUGUGACCCUCAAUUUGCUAAUGUACACUGUCUAAGAUCACCCAUCGGCAUUUUGAUCAGGACCAAUCCCCGUGCAAAAGGACAGAGGAGACUUGGAUUAAUCCAGAUAGAAAAAUGUGCUGGCUCUCGUUUGCGAGUUGAAAGAAUGAGGUUUGCUCCCCCAAAUAUCCUGCCAGUUUCCGAUGCUUCUGAAGUUAGGUUGAUAAAUUCAUGCAAUGGAUUAGUUUGUUUGGCUAAGGGGCUUGAUGAUGGCUUGUAUGUAUGCAAUCCAAUUUUGGGAGUAUAUUAGCAUUCCUUCUCCUGCUAAGAGUAUGACCUGCUUGUUCGUAUUUGUUGGACUUGGUUUUAAUGCCAGGACCAAUGAGUACAAGGUCUUGCAAACAUACUCCAAUGGCCAGUCUGAGAUAUACACCAUUGGUACAGGAGUUUGGAGAAGCAUUUGAAAGGCUCCUAAUGGCAGUUUUUCCAUGGUACCGUUCAAUUCUUUUCUGCAUGGAGCUCUUCAUUGGGUUCCCUACUCUUUUGACGGUUCUCAGUUUAUACAGUCUUUCAACUUUGAGGCAGAACAAUUUCGACCACUUGCCCCACCAUUCAAAGGUCAUUUGAAGUUAUCCCAACAUUAUAAUCAUCUGAAGUUGGGAGUUUUAAAAGGUUGUCUCUUCUUAUGUGUGCUUGGUGCUCAUAAUAGUGAAUUUGACAUGUGGGUUAUGAAGGAUUAUGGUGUCCAAGAGUCUUGGACAAAAAUUCUUGUCAUUGAAAACUUGUUUCCAUGGGUUGGCCAUGUCCUGCAUAAUGCAUAUGAACCCAUUGUGUUCUUCAAUGAUGGGGAAAUCCUAAUGACAUACAAGGACCGGGUGGUGGUUCGUUAUAAUCAAGAAACAAAGACUGUCUCACGAACUGGGAUAAUUCAAACUCAGUCUCGAUUUCGUGCAAUUGCAUACUGCCCUUGCUUUGUUUCACUCCCUGAUGUUUCAAAUGGAGAGGAGGUAAUAAGGGUGAGAGACAAUAACAAAUUUGAAGAGAUGUUUGCUAAAGGGAGCUAUAAUUGUGCAGGUUCCAGCAAGUCAGCUGAUCAUAAGUAAAAAAAACUGAAGUCAGGCUCUGGCCAACUUGCUUCGGGUGAUGGUUCCAAAUAAAGCAAUAAGUUCCUCUAGCUAAGGAGUUUUCCGCCAUGUCAGCACUGGGAUAGACACAGGGUAGUCCCCAAAUGUCCAUGGACACAGGCCUCUUUUUGUUAUCUAGCCAUACCAUGAGAGUAAUUCUUAUGGUUCUAUAGAGUAUAGACCAUGAUGCAAGUAGAGACUUGAUGCAAGCUUUUAAUUAAUUACUCUGGAACAAUGUGCAGGUUCUACUCCUGUACUGGUUUCCGCCGUGUGCCUAGGAGUCCCUGUGCUCAUAUGUUCAAUUUAAAUGAAAUUGCAAGACAUGUUAGUGGAUGUUAAACGGUGUGUAUUGAUGAGUUUCUCCACUGCCCAUUUAAUGUAUGUACUGGAAUCACAACCUCAUCCUUGUGUGCUUAAGGUAAUUGAAUGAAUAUGUUUUGCAAAGAUUACAUAUUA